UGUGCCCAGAUGGGAUUAGCUAGUAGGUGGGGUAAUGGGCUCACCUAGGCGACGAUCCCUAGCUGGUCUGAGAGGAUGACCAGCCACACUGGAACUGAGACACGGUCCAGACUCCUACGGGAGGCAGCAGUGGGGAAUAUUGCACAAUGGGCGCAAGCCUGAUGCAGCCAUGCCGCGUGUAUGAAGAAGGCCUUCGGGUUGUAAAGUACUUUCAGCGAGGAGGAAGGCAUUGUGGCUAAUAACCGCAGUGAUUGACGUUACUCGCAGAAGAAGCACCGGCUAACUCCGUGCCAGCAGCCGCGGUAAUACGAAGGGUGCAAGCGUUACUCGGAAUUACUGGGCGUAAAGCGUGCGUAGGUGGUUGUUUAAGUCUGUUGUGAAAGCCCUGGGCUCAACCUGGGAAUUGCAGUGGAUACUGGGCGACUAGAGUGUGGUAGAGGGUAGUGGAAUUCCCGGUGUAGCAGUGAAAUGCGUAGAGAUCGGGAGGAACAUCCAUGGCGAAGGCAGCUACCUGGACCAACACUGACACUGAGGCACGAAAGCGUGGGGAGCAAACAGGAUUAGAUACCCUGGUAGUCCACGCCCUAAACGAUGCGAACUGGAUGUUGGGUGCAAUUUGGCACGCAGUAUCGAAGCUAAGCGUUAAGUCGCCGCCUGGGGAGACGGCGC
rnacentral:rRNA from 1 species